GGCUUUUUCCGUGAGCGUAGAGCGCCGCUUAGUUGAACUAUCCUUGCUAUUUGGGAUCCUUGGGACGUCCAUACCCCCCAUUGAAGUUGACAUUUAAAAUUGUUAAGGUAAGGGUUACGGUUAGGUAAGGGUUAAGGUUAUGUUUAGGGUAAGGGUUAAGGUUCUAGGGUAGGGACGUCCCAAGGAUUCAGAAUAGCACUCCGUUGAACUGCUUCGAAACAUCUUCAUGGACUUUUGAAUUAAAUGGCAGUCUCGCAUAGUCGCUUCACUCCCGACAGCUCCACUAGAAUGCAACAAAGAGGUACCCCCUUACCAUCAGGUUCCCACAGCAACCACCUCUGAGGUCAACUGAAGUGUGCAAGUCUCUCUUGUACUAAGGAGUUGUGAAUGAGACUGCCAUUGCUCCGGUCCAGAACAAACCUCACUGGACACCUCAGGCAGAGGGAGACUUCCCCAUGAAUGGAGCCCCUGCACUCCAGGAGUCUUUGCUAAAACAGAGAGAGCGACCAGAAGACUACAGCCGGAACCAGCCCUUUGGCUUUCAAACUCAAUUCAACUUCAAAUAUCUUUACAAAUAACAGACUGCAAUCAUCUGAGAAAGAGAGUGAGGAAUAAGCAUCAGAGACACUAUUGAAGCCAGACUCUGGUCUGGCGGUAAGACACCCAUACACAGUGAGCCUGCCCCUGCUGUCCUCCGAUGGAGACCCCGGGUAGAGCAAGACGCUGCUGCAACGUUACAGGGGGACCCCCAGUAAAGGAGUCAUCCAGAGGGGAACACAGCGUUGCAGUGUGCGACAUGAAUGCAGUGAAAACUACUGAGCUGUCUGUCCACAGUAAGGAGAACAGGCAAAGUCCUGGACACCUAAAGACUAAAGAGGACGAGGAGGACCCCUGGGACAGGAAGGACCCCAGUAACCACACAACCAGGAAGCAUCCCUCAACCACUGGGGGAAAGAAUGGUGAGUUUCAAUAAUAUUAGUUAUAAUUCUAAUUAAAUGAAAAUAUAAACAGGACUAACAUUUGUGACUGACCGGCUUGAUUCGCUCUUAUGUAGCAACAUUUGAAAAGUUGUUUUUUACAUUACAUACAAGUAGAGACUCACAGCUAGAAAAUGGUAUAUCAUACACUAC
rnacentral:lncRNA from 1 species